rnacentral:rRNA from 1 species
AGGGUUCGAUUAUGGCUCAGGAUGAACGCUAGCGGCAGGCUUAACACAUGCAAGUCGAGGGGUAACAGGGAUUGCUUGCAAUCCGCUGACGACCGGCGCACGGGUGAGUAACGCGUAUGCAACCUACCUUUUACUGGGGGAUAGUCAAGAGAAAUUUUGAAUAAUACCCCAUACGAUCUGAUUCACUCCUGUGAAACAGAAGAAAAUUUCGGUGGUAAAAGAUGGGCAUGCGUCCUAUUAGUUUGUUGGUGAGGUAACGGCUCACCAAGACUACGAUAGGUAGGGGUCCUGAGAGGGAGACCCCCCACACUGGUACUGAGACACGGACCAGACUCCUACGGGAGGCAGCAGUGAGGAAUAUUGGGCAAUGGAGGAAACUCUGAUCCAGCCAUGCCGCGUGCAGGAAGACGGCCCUAUGGGUUGUAAACUGCUUUUAUACAGGAAGAAACGUUAGUACGUGUACUAGCCUGACGGUACUGUAAGAAUAAGGAUCGGCUAACUCCGUGCCAGCAGCCGCGGUAAUAC